GGGGGUGCAUGGAUUCGACUUAGAAGUUAGAUGAAUCGGUUGCAUGCCGUAGGGGUAAGGCCGAACGUAUACGGGCUUACAAAACAUAAGAGCAACACCUUACGUUGCAACACCUGCUUACGCUGUUAGCUAGGUAGGACCUUUAAAUUUUUUGUCUCAGGAAAUUUAGAGGUACACUUUUUGGGGCUAGAAACAAGCCUCUGGCUUUGAGGGCUUGCUUUGAAACACUCCAAAGCUGCUUUCUGGGAAAUCCCGCCUUUUGGAGUUUCCAGGGAAAAGAUAAACAUAAGGCUAAGCAUGUAGGAGCUGUUUGUCACCCCUCUAAGGACGCGGGUUCGAAUCCCGCC
rnacentral:tmRNA from 1 species